ensembl:lncRNA
GGAUAGUAAUGGUCUCUAAUGGGGAGGAUAGUAAUGGUCUCUUAUAGGGAAGGAUAGUAAUGGUUUCUUAUGGAGGAGGAUAGUAAUGGUGAGGAUAGUAAUGGUGAUGAUAGGGGAGGAUAGUAAUGGUCUCUUAUGGGGGAGGAUAGUAAUGGUCUCUUAUGGAGGAGGAUAGUAAUGGUGAGGAUAGUAAUGGUCUCUUAUAGGGGAGGAUAGUAAUGGUAUCUUAUGGAGGAGGAUAGUAAUGGUGAGGAUAGUAAUGGUCUCUUUUGGAGGAUAGUAAUGGUCUCUUAUAGGGGAGGAUAGUAAUGGUCUCUUACAGGGGGGGAUAGUAAUGGUCUCUUAUGGAGGAGGAUAGUAAUGGGGAGGAUAGUAAUAGUCUCUUAUGGGGGAGGAUAGUAAUGGUCUCUUAUGGGGGAGGAUAGUAAUGGCAGGGAUAGUAAUGGUGAUGAUAGUUAUCGUCUCUUAUAGGGGAGGAUAGUAAUGGUCUCUUAUAGGGGAGGAUAGUAAUGGUCUGUUAUGGGGGAGGAUAGUAAUGGUCUCUAAUGGGGGAGGAUAGUAAUGGUCUCUUAUAGGGAAGGAUAGUAAUGGUUUCUUAUGGAGGAGGAUAGUAAUGGUGAGGAUAGUAAUGCUGAUGAUAGGGGAGGAUAGUAAUGGUCUCUUAUGGGGGAGGAUAGUAAUGGUCUCUUAUGGAGGAGGAUAGUAAUGGGGAGGAUAGUAAUGGUAUCUUAUGGAGGAGGAUAGUAAUGGUCUCUUUUGGAGGAGGAUAGUAAUGGUCUCUUAUAGGGGAGGAUAGUAAUGGUCUCUUACAGGGGGGGAUAGUAAUGGUCUCUUAUGGAGGAGGAUAGUAAUGGUGAGGAUAGGAAUGGUCUCUUAUAGGGAAGGAUAGUAAUGGGGAGGAUAGUAAUGGUCUCUUAUAGGGGAGGAUAGAAAUGGUCUCUGAUGGGGGAGGAUAGUAAUGGUGAUGAUAGUAAUGGUCUCUGAUGGGGGAGGAUAUUAAUGGUCUCUUAUAGGGGAGGAUAGUAAUGGUCUCUUAUAGGGGAGGAUAGUAAUGGCCUCUUAUAGGGGAGGAUAGUAAUGGUCUCUAAUGGGGGAGGAUAGUAAUGGUGAUGAUAGUAAUGGUCUCUGAUGGGGGAGGAUAGUAAUGGUCUCUUAUAGGGGAGGAUAGUAAUGGUCUCUUAUAGGGGAGGAUAGUAAUGGCCUCUUAUAGGGGAGGAUAGUAAUGGUGAUGAUGUAAUGGUCUCUUCACCUUUUAAAGAUUAUCCCUGUCCAUUUGUCUCUGUCUUUAAAUGCCACCAUAAAGGUUAAAUGAACAGGGGAACGAAACAAACAUUUGGCCAUCAGCUGACUUCAGUUUAUGUUAUGGUUGUUAUUCAUGGCACAAGUUGCAGGUAGCUACGAUACUCAUCCUCCAAAUGACUGUGAAGGUUUGAGUUGCAGGAAGAAACCUUUAAACAAAACGUUUAAAAUCACCAGACUUUAAAAUGAAGUCAAUGUUGUGAUUGGUGGGAAGUUGUAUAGUUAAAAUCGUCACAUAAGGAUUUAAUGCUUUAAGGCUGUUUAGUCUUGCUUCACACAAAACAUUCCGUACUUGAAACAUCUGAUGAUCAGUCAGAACAAUAGAGCCAAUAAUAGAGCCAGUAUGGUGCCAUAGUUUCUUGUAGCUCAAUGAUAAUUACUGGCUGUUUGAAGAAACUGAUAUCUGGUGUAUCUGCUAAAGGGCAAAGCCUCAAUAUUUCUCUUAUUUUCCCUGAAAAGCCUGAAAAAGCCAUCCUCCCUCUUUCCUCUCAUCUUCCUCUUCCUUCCUCAUCCUCCUCUUCCUCGUGCUCUUCAAAUGUCAGGCAGAAAGAGGGAUGUGACAGGUGGUUGAGGAGAGGGAGAUUGUUGAACUCCUCUCUG